GCCGCAGUAUUUUGACUGUGCAAAGGUAGCAUAAUCAUUAGUUUUUUAAUUGAAAGCUGGAAUGAAGGGUCGGAUGAGGAAGAAGCUGUCUCAUUUAAAUUUUAUUUGAAUUUUAUUUUUAAGUCAAAAGGCUUAGAUGUUAUAGAAAGACGAGAAGACCCUAUAGAGUUUGAUAGGCUGAUGUUUCAAUUUUGUGAGGGUUUUAUUGGGAUUGAUUGAUCACUUGUUUUGUUGGGGUGACAUAAGAAUUGGAUAAACUUCUUUGAUUGGUUUACAUGGAUUAAUGAAUUUAUGAUCCUGAGUUUUGGAUUAAAAGAAUAAAUUACCUUAGGGAUAACAGCGUAAUCUUUUUGGAGAGUUCUUAUCGAUAAAAGGGAUUGCGACCUCGAUGUUGGAUUAAAGUUAAUUUCUGGUGCAGAAGCUAGAAUGUUA
rnacentral:rRNA from 1 species